rnacentral:rRNA from 1 species
CGGCUCACCUAGGCGACGAUCCCUAGCUGGUCUGAGAGGAUGACCAGCCACACUGGAACUGAGACACGGUCCAGACUCCUACGGGAGGCAGCAGUGGGGGAAUAUUGCACAAUGGGCGCAAGCCUGAUGCAGCCAUGCCGCGUGUGUGAAGAAGGCCUUCGGGUUGUAAAGCACUUUCAGCGGGGAGGAAGGCGAUAAGGUUAAUAACCUUGUCGAUUGACGUUACCCGCAGAAGAAGCACCGGCUAACUCCGUGCCAGCAGCCGCGGUAAUACGGAGGGUGCAAGCGUUAAUCGGAAUUACUGGGCGUAAA